CCUACGGGAGGCAGCAGUGGGGAAUCUUGGGCAAUGGAGGAAACUCUGACCCAGCAACGCCGCGUGAAUGAUGAAGGUCUUCGGAUUGUAAAGCUCUUUUUUUAGGGAAGAAGAAAGUGACGGUACCUUCGUAACAAGCCUCCGCUAACUACGUGCCAGCAGCCGCGUUCAUACGUAGGAGGCGAGCGUUAUCCGGAAUGACUGGGUGUAAAGGGUGCGUUGGUGGUUUGGCAAGGUAGUAGCGUAACUCCAAGGCUCAACCUUGGAACGACUACUGAUACUGGUGGACUUGAGUGCAGGAGAGGCAAGCGGAAGUCCUAGUGUAGCGGUGAAAUGCGUAGAUAUUAGGAGGAACACCAGUGGCGAAGGCGGGUUGCUGGACUGUAACUGACGCUGAGGCACGAAAGCGUGGGGAGCAAACAGGAUUAGAUACCCUGGUAGUC
rnacentral:rRNA from 1 species